GGAACGGUGGCCGAGUGGCUGAAGGCAACGGUUUGCUAAAUCGUCAUACGAUCAAAAGUCGUAUCGGGGGUUCGAAUCCCCCCCGUUCCGCCA
rnacentral:tRNA from 1 species